UGGGGAAUAUUGCACAAUGGGGGAAACCCUGAUGCAGCGACGCCGCGUGAGCGAAGAAGGCUUUCGAGUCGUAAAGCUCUGUCCUAUGAGAAGAUAAUGACGGUAUCAUAGGAGGAAGCCCUGGCUAAAUACGUGCCAGCAGCCGCGGUAAUACGUAUGGGGCGAGCGUUGUCCGGAAUUAUUGGGCGUAAAGGGUACGUAGGCGGUUUUUUAAGUCAGGUGUCAAAGCGUGGAGCUUAACUCCAUUAAGCACCUGAAACUGAAAGACUUGAGUGAAGGAGAGGAAAGUGGAAUUCCUAGUGUAGCGGUGAAAUGCGUAGAUAUUAGGAGGAAUACCGGUGGCGAAGGCGACUUUCUGGACUUUUACUGACGCUCAGGUACGAAAGCGUGGGGAGCAAACAGG
rnacentral:rRNA from 1 species